CGUGAGGUGUCGGCUUAAGUGCCAUAACGAGCGCAACCCUUUUCCCUGUUUGCCAUCAGGUUAAGCUGGGCACUCCAGGGACACUGCCAUCGCAAGAUGCGGAGGAACAUGUGGUUUAAUUCGAUGAUACGCGAGGAACCUUACCCGGGCUUGAACUGAGCAGGAAUGAUGCAGAGACGCAUCAGUCUUCGGACCUGCUCGGAGGUGCUGCAUGGUUGUCGUCAGCUCGUGCCGUGAGGUGUCGGCUUAAGUGCCAUAACGAGCGCAACCCUUUUCCCUGUUUGCCAUCAGGUUAAGCUGGGCACUCCAGGGACACUGCCAUCGCAAGAUG
rnacentral:rRNA from 1 species